GGUAUGUAGCUCAGUGGUAGAGUAUUUGCCUAACAUGUGUAAAGCCCUAGGUUCCAUUCCCAGCACUG
rnacentral:tRNA from 1 species